rnacentral:lncRNA from 1 species
AUGCGCUAUUUAGACGACAUCUGGGGCGUUUGGCAACACUCAGAAUCGGAAUUCCAACUUUUCUUAAAAAUCCUCAACACACACGAUCCAUCUAUCACACUUAAAUCAUGUCAACACCUCUCCUCGGUCGAUUUCCUGGACACCACCACGUUUAAAGGUCCUGACUUCGCGAUGUCCCUCACUCUAGACGUCAAGGUCUACUUUAAACCCACUGACACGCAUGCGCUCUUGCAUGCGAACAGCUUCCAUCCCAAACACACAUUCGCUGGACUCCUUAAGUCGCAACUCUUACGGUUUCAACGCAUCUGCUCCAGAACUUCUGACUUCUGGGCGGCUGUCAAAAUUCUAUUUCAAGCCCUUUCUCUUAGGGGGUACUCGCGCUCGGCCCGCCGUCUCUCCCUUAAGGAGUUUAAAUUAGUGCGUCCACCCGUUGAGGGACAGCGCAUCCCCUUGGUAACGACCUACUCCACCUCCUCCUCUCACCUGACCCGAUGUGUCAGAAAUAAUUUCCAGUGUCUUCUGGACUCCACCACCUACCUUCCUGGUUAUAAUAUUAUUGCGGCCUACCGUAGGAACAAAAAUAUAAGUGAUCUUCUAAUUAGGGCCAAACUACGGCCCCUGGUGGAGCCUAAAGUUGACAGACGCUCCUAUUUUUAUAAUUUCGUUCCGUGGGCCCACAACAAAAAUAAUGGAGAUGUCUUUCCCACUGACCGGCACUCGGACAUUAACACCAAAAAUUGUGUGUACCUCAUCCGUUGCCUCGCAUGCGAUCUCCAAUAUGUGAGGGAAACGGGAAACACCAUACGUGUCCGUUUCCACCAAGACAAACACAACAUCAAACGCAAAAAGGACACUCACCUUCCUUUGGUUGCGCAUUUUGUGGAGCACGGAUGGCUGGCCCUUUCCGCGUCGGUGCUCGAAGCCAACCCUUUCUGGUCUGCUGCUCAACGGCGCAGAGCUGAGAGGCUUUGGAUUGACAGGCUGGGGACCUGGCAACCCCUUGGUUUGAACGUUGGGGUGGGUAGGGGACCACCGGGGGGACGUCUGAUGAUGGCCCGUGUCGUUAAUUGUUGA